UCCUAAAAGGUAACGGAGGCGCUCAAAGGUUCCCUCAGAAUGGUUGGAAAUCAUUCAUAGAGUGUAAAGGCAUAAGGGAGCUUGACUGCGAGACCUACAAGUCGAGCAGGGUCGAAAGACGGACUUAGUGAUCCGGUGGUUCCGCAUGGAAGGGCCAUCGCUCAACGGAUAAAAGCUACCCCGGGGAUAACAGGCUUAUCUCCCCCAAGAGUUCACAUCGACGGGGAGGUUUGGCACCUCGAUGUCGGCUCAUCGCAUCCUGGGGCUGUAGUCGGUCCCAAGGGUUGGGCUGUUCGCCCAUUAAAGCGGUACGCGAGCUGGGUUCAGAACGUCGUGAGACAGUUCGGUCCCUAUCCGUCGUGGGCGUAGGAAAUUUGAGAGGAGCUGUCCUUAGUACGAGAGGACCGGGAUGGACAUACCUCUGGUGUACCAGUUGUCGUGCCAACGGCAUAGCUGGGUAGCUAUGUGUGGACGGGAUAAGUGCUGAAAGCAUCUAAGCAUGAAGCCCCCCUCAAGAUGAGAUUUCCCAACUUCGGUUAUAAGAUCCCUCAAAGAUGAUGAGGUUAAUAGGUUCGAG
rnacentral:rRNA from 1 species